GGCGGAUGUACCCAAGUGGAUCAAGGCCUUGAAUUUGUUAUUCCACCAUGCGCGAC
rnacentral:tRNA from 1 species